rnacentral:rRNA from 1 species
ACGGAAGGCAGCAGUGGGGAAUAUUGCACAAUGGGGGAAACCCUGAUGCAGCGACGCCGCGUGAGUGAAGAAGUAUCUCGGUAUGUAAAGCUCUAUCAGCAGGGAAGAAAAUGACGGUACCUGACUAAGAAGCCCUGGCUAACUACGUGCCAGCAGCCGCGGUAAUACGUAGGGGGCAAGCGUUAUCCGGAAUUACUGGGUGUAAAGGGUGCGUAGGUGGUAUGGCAAGUCAGAAGUGAAAACCCAGGGCUUAACUCUGGGACUGCUUUUGAAACUGUCGGACUGGAGUGCAGGAGAGGUAAGCGGAAUUCCUAGUGUAGCGGUGAAAUGCGUAGAUAUUAGGAGGAACAUCAGUGGCGAAGGCGGCUUACUGGACGGUAACUGACACUGAGGCACGAAAGCGUGGGGAGCAAACAGGAUUAGAUACCCUGGUA